UGUCUUCUUGGAUGGACAGUAUUGUAGAUGUUGCCAUCACAAUCCCUGUUUGUACAGGCUUCCAGCUACUUGGUUGUCCAAUCUUCAGCCUACGGAACAGUUGGAUCGUGUCCUGGAGGAACUUGAUGGCCUUUUGGUACUCCUCCAUCUUGUGCCUGCUCAGUGCCAUUACUGGGUGGCGAGAGGACAUGAGAUCAAACCAGUGGUCUACCUGCUCCAGGAGCCAUGCUGUUGUCCGGUAAGAGUGGACCGACUGAAGCUUCAUUGGAGGGGAGGUUCUCCCUCUACCAUAUCUGGUGGGAUUGUGAACGUCUGUCCGCGGACCAGGGCACUCUUCAAGUUCUUCACCAGGUGUGAGACAUCUGGCAUGAAGUAUAGCCUCCUGUCUGGUCUUGUUGGAUGUGGGACAGACGUUUUGUUGUGGUCCACUCCAAAGGCCUUCCACAUUGCCCGAUUAGGGCUGCCCAUGUCAGUGGUGACGUUAAUCACAUGUAGCCCGAUGGAAUCUGCUCUGUGAAUAAUGUCCAAGACAAUAGGUAACGUCACAUCCCCAUACAGCUUCCCUGUUCCCAGGUGCAGCUCCACGCUUGGUGUGAUUGACAUCUCAUCCAGAGGUUCUGAUGUCGGGGAGAGGAAUCAACAUGUCCUGUAGAAGUUUGUAGCCUGUUGAGCCAGUAGCAAAACGGAUUUGAAUAGCCUUUUUAAGGAUGUCAUUUCCCCAUCGUAUGCUUCUCUUACUCUUCAGACCACUCGAUUUUAUCUGAUCUUUUGAUAACAUUGUUCCAAAUUUAUUUUCCAUUAUUAUUAUUUUUUUCCGUAGGACCACAUUCAUUCUUUUUUGACAAUGUAGGGCUGCCUGUAACCUUCUUGUCUGAUCUAUUUGUUUUGUUAACUCCUCCCUCAGGUCUUUAUCACUGUACCCUGGCUCACUUGGACACUGGGCACAGGAUCCUGGCUCACUGGGGCACUGGGCACUGGAACCUGGCUCACUUGGACACUGGCUAUUGGCUCACUUGGACACUGGACUGGCUCAUUGGCUGCUGGACCCUUCCUCUUCUUGGGCUCAGGAUGAUGCAGAAAUAUGCUGGGAACAGCAUCAGCCUUCAAUUCCAGUUGGCCUUUUUUUGUUUUUGUGAAUUGGUCUCCCUCAAAAUGUGCCUGCGAUGAUAUUGGCACAAUGGCUUGAGUUUAAUUUCCACAUGCAUUCCAGACUCACCCCAUAAUUGUCAAUCCCAAUUUCAUUAUAGUCAUGUACAUAUUACAGUAAACAUAUUGGUCCUUGAUCCACAAGUGAAAUGUAUAAAGACAACUUAAACUCACACCACACAGUUUUCUAUUAUUGAAUUUUCUUGCGAUGGUCAGGUGCCUUCUGCCAACUUGCGCCAUCCAUUUUUUUCUCCUGUUUGUAUCUUUUGGAAAACCAUACAUCCGGAUCCCUCUCUCAGACCGAUUGGAGCAUGCUGCACAGCCAACCAUAAUCUCCUUGUCUUCUAGAAUCAUAUGAAGUGCAGGAGCUCAUUAAUUUGACAUUUUAUACUGCAUUUCAACCACUAUAAUGAUUGUGUUUGUGUGUGCCUAGUCUGAGGUUUGUGAACAGCAGACAUUUAGAUCACCGGAUCACUACAAACAAAAGGAGUGGAAGAACACUGGACAUAUUAUACAAUAAAAUGUUUUAUUGAAUGCAAUUGGUUGCCUUGUUUAUUCUGUUCUAUUUUUUUCUAUUGAACAGUUGCUGGUGAUAAUGGUUAGAUUCAACUUGCAUCAAGUACUACAAAUUUAAGUGUUGUUA